GCCAGACUCCUACGGGAGGCAGCAGUGGGGAAUAUUGGGCAAUGGGCGCAAGCCUGACCCAGCAAUGCCGCGUGAAGGAAGAAGGCUUUCGGGUUGUAAACUUCUUUGACAGGGGAAGAGCAGAAGACGGUACCCUGAAAACAAGCCACGGCUAACUACGUGCCAGCAGCCGCGGUAAUACGGAGGAUCCGAGCGUUAUCCGGAUUCAUUGGGUUUAAAGGGUGCGUAGGUUGUUUUAUAAGUUAGCGGUGAAAUACCGAUGCUCAACAUCGGGGCUGCCGCUAAUACUGUAGGACUAGAGAUCGGAUGCAGCAGGCGGAAUGUGUAGUGUAGCGGUGAAAUGCAUAGAUAUUACACAGAACACCGAUUGCGAAGGCAGCUUGCUAGGCCGGAUCUGACACUGAGGCACGAAAGCGCGGGGAUCGAACAGGAUUAGAUACCCCGGUAA
rnacentral:rRNA from 1 species